AUUGAACGCUGGCGGCAGGCCUAACACAUGCAAGUCGAGCGGAUGAAGGGAGCUUGCUCCUGGAUUCAGCGGCGGACGGGUGAGUAAUGCCUAGGAAUCUGCCUGUUUGUGGUGUAUAACGUCCGGAAACGGGCGCUAAUACCGCAUACGUCCUGAGGGAGAAAGUGGGGGAUCUUCGGACCUCACGCUAUCAGAUGAGCCUAGGUCGGAUUAGCUAGUUGGUGGGGUAAAGGCCUACCAAGGCGACGAUCCGUAACUGGUCUGAGAGGAUGAUCAGUCACACUGGAACUGAGACACGGUCCAGACUCCUACGGGAGGCAGCAGUGGGGAAUAUUGGACAAUGGGCGAAAGCCUGAUCCAGCCAUGCCGCGUGUGUGAAGAAGGUCUUCGGAUUGUAAAGCCCUUUAAGUUGGGAGGAAGGGCAGUAAGUUAAUACCCUGCUGUUUUGACGUUACCCACAGAAUAAGCACCGGCUAACUUCGUG
rnacentral:rRNA from 1 species